rnacentral:tRNA from 1 species
CCUGGUGGUCUAGUGGUUAAGAUUGAGCAUUCUCACUGCCAAGGCCCGGGUUCGUUUCCUGGCCAGG